rnacentral:rRNA from 1 species
UACGUAGGGACCAAGCGUUGUUCGGAUUUACUGGGCGUAAAGGGUGCGUAGGUGGCGUCGUAAGUCAGGUGUGAAAUCUCGGGGCUCAACCCCGAAACUGCACUUGAUACUGCGAUGCUUGAGUACUGGAGAGGAGAUUGGAAUUUACGGUGUAGCAGUGAAAUGCGUAGAUAUCGUAAGGAAGACCAGUGGCGAAGGCGAAUCUCUGGACAGUUACUGACACUGAGGCACGAAGGCCAGGGGAGCAAACGGG